CCUACGGGAGGCUGCAGUGGGGAAUAUUGCACAAUGGGCGCAAGCCUGAUGCAGCCAUGCCGCGUGUGUGAAGAAGGCCUUCGGGUUGUAAAGCACUUUCAGCGGGGAGGAAGGCGUUAGGUUAAUAACCUUGUCGAUUGACGUUACCCGCAGAAGAAGCACCGGCUAACUCCGUGCCAGCAGCCGCGGUAAUACGGAGGGUGCAAGCGUUAAUCGGAAUUACUGGGCGUAAAGCGCACGCAGGCGGUCUGUCAAGUCGGAUGUGAAAUCCCCGGGCUCAACCUGGGAACUGCAUUCGAAACUGGCAGGCUAGAGUCUUGUAGAGGGGGGUAGAAUUCCAGGUGUAGCGGUGAAAUGCGUAGAGAUCUGGAGGAAUACCGGUGGCGAAGGCGGCCCCCUGGACAAAGACUGACGCUCAGGUGCGAAAGCGUGGGGAGCAAACAGGAUUAGAUACCCCGGUAGUC
rnacentral:rRNA from 1 species